UGGUUUGGUUUUGGUACACUUUUCUCUGUACACAACGGAAGAGUUGUUAGGGGGACCCUGAGAUUAGAGGACGAAGCACACGUGUGGCAGAUGUAAUUCCUGUCAGAUUCUAGUUUUUGGAGAGAGAAAGGGAAGAUGGGAGUCACAGUGAGAGAUAGAGGAAGAUGGGUAGCUUGUUAUGGAUGAGAGAGAGAUGGGUUCCUUAUAUCUUUGUUGAUAUGUUGUCUUGAGAGAGAAACCAAGAGGCAGAGUUACUGUUAGAGUGAGAGAAGGAUAGUUCUGUUGAGGUGAGAGAAAGAGGAACCACUGAGUUUUCUUUCAGAUAGGUCAUGACACCAGCCCCCAUGUCCCAUUAACCGUUCCAGUUCGAUUUUGUGAAACCUGGUUAUGAGAGAAGCCCAUUGAUUUUGAGAGAGAAAUAGGGCAAAGGGUGAGACUGUGUAGGCCAGUAUAACCAAACUAUUUUAUGGAGAGAAAAAGAGAGAUUUGCUUGCAUGAUGUCAUGGCCUUCAAAUUGCCUGUCGAUUCUUCUGUGCUUGCUGCGGAGGAAACCCAUUUUCUCUCUCUAAAGCCUCAGAGCCUUUGAAGCUUUCUCUCUCUAACAAUUUGCGGUAAGAAAGGGGGUAGUGGGUUAUGCUGACAGAAGAGAGUGAGCACACAUGGCCAAUUGUAUAACCGUAUGCCGCUGUCUGUGCGUGCUCACUCCUCUUCUUGUCAGCUUUAUCAUUUCCCGCUAUUGCUUUGUGCCAUGACCUCCUGCAUUCUCCGUUCUCUCUCUAGAUGAAUCCUUUCUCUCUCUAAAUGAAUCCGGUCUCUUUUGGGUUUCCGAGAUGCACCAUCCGCACCCAUUUUCAUUCGUUCCAAGGCAAAAACAAGAGAGAGAAAGUAAUAAACAAAUGGCACCUCAUUAUGCGUGGGGGCACGCGCUGGUCUCCCCUCCUGGCCCUAUUCCUAUCCUUCAUUUCAGUCUUUUCAGGGUUUCUCUCUCUAGGAGGAUAUGCUUCUGGUACGACUUCGGACUAAUGGAAAAAUGGUGAGAACCUCGACAGUUUUGCAUGAAAUUUGGUAUGUUUUCUCUCUAAGUCCCACUAUCAGAUUUCUCACUUCUUGCUCAGUGGAAUUAGGUAUUCCUACUCUCUUUCUCUAUCUUGUAUCCGGAUUCUCGCUCUAUCUUCUCCAUGAGAUUAGGUGUGUGCAUACUCUCUCUCAAUGAGAUUCGGUAUCGGUUUUCUCUCUCUUCUCAGUGUGAUUAGGUAUGCGUUUUCUCUCUCUUGUCAUGGUAUUAGGCUUGUGUGUUCUAAUUUUCACAAUGCUAGGUGUAAUCUAACUCUCUUUAGGCUUUGUUUAACUCUACAAAACUUCCAUGCAAAAUCUGUUGUAGGUUUUUUAAGGUUAAUGAAUUUGAAUGCAAAUUCUGGUGUGGGUUUUUUAAGGUUAAUAGAUUUGAACCAGAUGCAUUGUAUAUAUUCAGAAUUGGGUUUUUUUUUUUGUGUUUUUGAUGGGAUAAUAGGCAUGGAUCUUUUAGAUGUGCUUACUUUAGGGGCAUUUUAACGGUUCAGUGUGAGAUUGCAUUUGAGGAGUUAGUGGAUCUGUAGAUGUUCCUGCUUUCUAGAGAGAGAAAGAGAGAAAAAAGAAAGUUUAGAUUGGGCUUUCAGACUGGAACACAGGAGACAGGUUAGUAUGCAAUCCUCUAUAUUUCUCUUUCUUCUUUUGGUGGGUUUUAUUGGUUGUUUGUUGAUUUUCUUUCUAGCCAACUCACUUUUUGGAUGAAGUAUCCAAAUUACUUCUUGUUUUUGUGCAAUAAGGACUCUCUCUCUCUCUCUCCCCCCACACACCCACCUCCAUCUUGUGAUCCUUACUGGUGAUGAUAUUGUUUGGAGCUCUUCAUUCAAAAAACCAGAGUUUUUCAUUUGAUAUUAUAGCUAGCAAACAUCUAAAAUAAUUGAAGGAAAGAGAAGCACAAAGAAGAUACACCUUAAAUUAUCAGAAUCAGGAAGUUUAGACUUUAGAACUCAUGUGAUACUACCCUUUAAUGUGUUCUAAAGCUACUAUAAUAUCUGGUUUGACCAGCCAGGGUGGUGUGUGUGUCUCCUUUGUCCUCAAAAAGUUCGUCUAGAAAUUACUUUUUCAAGGUUGAAGGUUCUCUGUAGAGAAUUUUGUUUUUUUCUUGUGGGCACCUAGUGAACUAUUACUCCAUACUAGAUCUUUUCUAUUGUUUUGAAUUUGCAUUUUCCAUGCUCCAAUGCAGGUUGUUUUAAUUAAAAGAGUGGAUCAUGGUUUGGCAUUUCUGCAAACUAUGGUGUCUCUCAUAUAGUUUUUUCUACAUUGGAUUAGGAGUGGAGGCAUUUGCUCUUCUUUUACUUCCUUUGAUAUUUGAAGUCAUCUGAUCGCCGAAUUUCAUGUGCUGAGUAGGUGAUUGUUCAUCUGACUUUACUUUAAUCAACAUUUUAUGUUCAGGCUGCUUAAUACAUAAACCUAUUCAUCUUCUUUAAAUAAUUUCUUUGGUUGCCUGGAGUUUGUAGCCGAUUGUUUGUUUUUGUGUCUUGCUGAAUAGCCAAAAGUAACGGUGGCCAUUAUGCAAUUUUUUGGAGAAAUUGAGGCCUACAGGUUUUUGCUAUCAUAGUUUGUUUCCUUUUCCUUUUCAAUAAUGAAUGUGUUAGUAAGUCCAUGACACCUAUGGGUUCGUAGUGCCUAACUUGAAGCAUUUUGGGACAAUAAUGGCCAUCUUAUGACCCUUAGGCUUUGAUGGAUUUCUAAAGAAAAUAUCAUAUUUGUGAGAUAUUUUGUCAAUAUUGCUGUAUCAGCUAUUUGAUUCUUGUUACAUGCAGUUGUUUUCUGCUGCUAUGUGGUCAUGUAAUUGAAUUUUUGUAUUCUUUUGCAUCUGUUUUUUCUCUGUGGCUAUCUAGAAUGAACCGAAUACAUGGAUACGGAAAGUUGCAAGGUUUUGGAGGCUGUACAUCGUGGGAAUGCUUGUUUCCUCUAUGGAGUUGUAUUGGUACCAAAUUCUACAUAUGGCAAAUGUGGAGGGCCAAUCCUCCUAUCAUUCCUAUCAUCGGUAGAAGGAUCUAAAACUUGGAGAAUAGAAAGAAUUUGCUCCAGGGAUCCAUCUAGAAUGACCUUUUCCCAAGUGCUAAGAGUGGUGAAGUUGCAUUGGUUUAAAGGUGUUAAGGUGAUGCAUUCAAAGGCAAUGACCUUCUGAAGCAUAGUGUGCUCUAGGUGGCUUUCCUUGGUAGUUUGAUGGGAUGCCAAGAUAAUGAAGUCAAGGGUUUGUGUUCUAUCAUUGUGGAGAGUUUGUGAUGCUAAGGUCCCGACACAUUGCAUAGGGAUCCAUCUAGAAUGACCUUUUCCCAAGUGCUAAGAGUGGUGAAGUUGCAUUGGUUUAGAGGUGUUAAGUUGAUGCAUUCAAAGGCAAUGACCUUCUGAAGAAUAGUGUGCUCUAGGUGGCUUUCCUUGGUAGUUUGAUGGCUUUUCACUUAUCGAUGAACCGAGAUGGACGGGUUAAUGUUGCUGAAUUGGUCUUAGAUCUCUCCUUUUUUCAGUGUUGGCUUUGCACCAUUUGGUUUCAAAGCCAACGUUGUGAGUUACACGUUGAUUUCCAUGACUGGUUGUUGUAGUAGAUGUGGCCAUAUGUAUGGUGCUCAUGAUCUAGAUUGGUGUUGGAGUUAUGGAUUUUGAAGGACUUAUAAAAUGGACGUGUUAUUGCUCUUGAUUACAAUGAAUAAAAAGAGCGACAUGACUCUAGGAUCUUGACGCAUUGAGACCAAGAGUUAUGAAAACCCUUGGACAGUCUUGUGGAGGAUUGAUAUAUAUAUAUAUAUAUAUAUAUAUGAGGCACCAAGAGGUUUCAGGGUUGCCCCUAGUCAGGGUCAGUUAUUGUUAUUAUUAUUGAGCUCAAUUAGUCAGGGCCAUAGU